CAAUAGCGUAUAUUAAAGUUGUUGCAGUUAAAAAGCUCGUAGUUGAAUUUUUGCUUGCCGCCGAUGUCGGAACUUCCGUACGUUCGGCGGCGUGCAUCCUUGGGUGGAACCUGUGCGGCAUUAGGUUGUCGUGCAGGGGAUGCUCAUCGUUUACUGUGAAAAAAUUAGAGUGUUCAAAGCAGGCUUACGCCGUUGAAUAUAUUAGCAUGGAAUAAUAAGAUAGGACCUUGGUACUAUUUUGUUGGUUUGCGCACCGAGGUAAUGAUUAACAGGGACAGUUGGGGGUAUUCGUAUUCCAUUGUCAGAGGUGAAAUUCUUGGAUUUCUGGAAGACGAACUACUGCGAAAGCAUUUACCAAGGAUGUUUUCAUUAA
rnacentral:rRNA from 1 species